GAUGAACGCUGGCGGCGUGCCUAAUACAUGCAAGUCGAGCGAACAGACGAGGAUCUUGCUCCUCUGACGUUAGCGGCGGAGGGGUGAGUAACACGUGUAUCACCUACCUAUAAGACUGGGAUAACUUCGGGAAACCGGAUCUAAUACCGGAUAAUAUAUUGAACCGUAUGGUGCGAUAGUAAGAUACGGUUUUGCGGUCACUUAUAGAUGGAUCCGUGCCGCAUUAGGGAGUUGGGAAGGUAAAGGGUUACCAAGGGAACGAUGCGUAGCCGACGGGAGAGGGUGAUCGGCCACACUGGAACUGAGACAGGGUCCAGACUCCUACGGGAGGCAGCAGUAGGGAAUCUUCCGCAAUGGGCGAAAGCCUUACGGAGCAACGCCGCGUGAGUGAUGAAGGUCUUCGGAUCGUAAAACUCUGUUAUUGGGGAAGAACAAAUGUGUAAGUAACUAUGCACAGCUUGACGGUACCUAAUCAGAAAGCCACGGCUAACUACGUG
rnacentral:rRNA from 1 species